rnacentral:rRNA from 1 species
GAUCAUGGCUCAGGAUGAACGCUAGCUACAGGCUUAACACAUGCAAGUCGAGGGGCAGCAUGGUCUUAGCUUGCUAAGGCCGAUGGCGACCGGCGCACGGGUGAGUAACACGUAUCCAACCUGCCGUCUACUCUUGGACAGCCUUCUGAAAGGAAGAUUAAUACAAGAUGGCAUCAUGAGUUCGCAUGUUCACAUGAUUAAAGGUAUUCCGGUAGACGAUGGGGGUG